CGGGGUGAGAAUGAGAAGCCCGGGAGGAAAGGAGAGUGCACCGAAACUCAGCCAGAGUACAGCAAAUCGCUCCUAAUCCCUGGAAGCCCAGGUCAGAAUGGAGCAGAGCCGGAGUCGAUGUCCCGUCCACCAUCUAAAGAUCCAGCAGGGCAUGCUCCUGUAUGUACUUUUCCUUGCCAGCUGUAGCCUGGCAUCCGAGCUGGUUUACCGAGUGAAGGAAGAGUCACCGAGCGGGACCUUCAUCGGGAACCUGGCCAUCGACCUGAAGUUGGGAAGCUCGGCGGAGACGGGAGUCACCUACAACCUGGCGUCGGAGCCCGGGCACGGGCGCUUCGUGGAUCUGAACCGGGACACGGGCGAGUUGCGGACCUCGGCCUCGGUGCUGGACCGGGAGGAGCUGUGCCCCGAGCCCUGGCAGGGAGCGGAGUGCUUUCUGCUCUUGGAUGUCAUCGUGCUGCCUGCCCGCCUCUUCAGGCUGCUCAAGCUCAGGGUGCUGGUGGAGGAUGUGAACGACAACCCGCCGCGAUUCCCGGCCGCCAGUAUCGGCGUAUCCGUGGCGGAGAACGCCGCGCCGGCCUCCCGUUACCCGCUGGAGCCUCCGGCCGAGGACCUGGACCCGGGCGCGAAUGGUUUGCUCACCUACCGGCUGGAAGGUGCCGAGGCCGCCUUCUCCCUGAGCAGCGAGCAGCCUGGGGGCGCUCAGCCGCUCCCCUUCUUAGUGCUGGAGCUGCCCUUAGACCGGGAGCUCCGGGAUGUCUAUGUGAUGAAGUUAGUGGCCGUGGAUAGUGGAUCUCCCCGGCUCUCCGGUACCGCCACCCUCACCGUUUCGGUCACCGAUAUUAACGAUAACUGCCCCGAGUUCCCGGAGCCGGAGCUCAGCUUCAGCCUUUACUCCAACAUUUCUGUGGGCACCGAAGUGACCCGGCUCCGGGCCCGGGACCCUGACCUCGGCUAUAACGCUCACAUCGUCUACUCGUACGGAGACCGGGUCCCGAAAACUUCCACCCAACUCUUCAGCCUGGACAGGAGCUCCGGCACCAUCCGCCUGGCCUCCCCCAUCCCGGCGAGCGGCGCCCUGCUUCACCGGCUCACCGUGCUCGCCACCGGCACCGGCUGCAUCCCCGUCACCGCCGCCGUCCAAGUGAGCAUCUUGCCCGUUAUGUCCGGCCCCCCUGCGCUGAGCCCCCGCUACAUCGCCCUCCAGGCCGAGGGGGUGGUUUAUCUGAGGGAAAGCGAGCCCGCCCGGACCCCCAUCGCCUUCUUCACCGUCACCGAACACGAGCAGCAGCGGCCGGUCCGCUGUUACCUGGAGGGAGGAGCCGCUUUCCGCCUGCUGCCUUACCGGCCUUUUCAAGACGAGUACCUGCUAGAAACAGCGCAGCCUCUGGACUAUGAGGUCCAGCAGGUGCAUGAAGUGACUGUAGUGGCAGAGAACGCCAAAAAGUUAACUCUCAGGACCCACAUCAAAAUACAACUCAUUGACGAAAACGAUAAUUCCCCCAUCUUCACCGACUCCUUGGUAAAUGUGACCAUUGAGGAGAACAAUCCUCCAAACAGCUUCCUCAUUAAAGUGAAGGCCACAGAUGCCGACAGCAGAGAAAUGGGAACCAUCACUUACGGUCUGGGCCCUAAUGCGCCUCCCAUCUUUGUUUUAGAUCAAUUCAGUGGGAGUUUGACAGUGUCAGCAUCCUUAGAUAGAGAAGAACAGGAAAAGUACAGAUUCAUUAUCAGAGCUAUAGAUGGUGGGUCUCCAGCUCGGGAAUCGACUGCCACCGUUCUCCUCACUGUCCUUGAUGCCAAUGACAACAGCCCUAGAUUCAUCAACAAAGACUUCAGUUUCUUUGUUCCUGAAGACUACCCAAGUUUUAGUGAGAUUGGUGUGAUCGGGGUUAUCGAUCCUGAUGCUGGAAAUAAUGGCUGGAUAGCCUUGUCCAUACUCAAUGGUAGUGGGCACUUUGUCAUAGACACAGGCAAGGGAAACCUUAUGGCAAAUGCCCCCUUGGACAGGGAACAACAGAGCUCGUACAUUCUGUGGGUUCAAGCUAUGGAUGGAGGAGAACCUGCUCUGUCUGCUAUUGCUAAAGUGACAGUGCUUCUGAUAGAUGUCAAUGAUAACCCACCUUUGGUUUUGUUUCCUCAGUCUAACCUUUCUUUUCUUCUGGUACUUCCAUCCACGGUUCCUGGCUCUUCAAUUACCGAAGUGUAUGCUGUUGAUAAGGACACAGGAAUGAACGCUGUCAUUGCUUAUAGUAUCAUUGGCCACAGAGGGCCCCGUCCAGAGACUUUUGUCAUUAACGCAGGCACUGGUAACAUUACAUUGCAUGAAGCUUUGGUGAAGAAUGAUCAUGGAUUAUACAGAUUGCUUGUCAAAGUCAGCGAUCAUGGAUAUCCAGAACCACUUCACAGCACAGUUAUAGUCAACCUUUUUGUCAAUGAAACAUUAAGCAAUGAGAGCUACAUAGAAAACCUGCUGAGGAAAGAUCCUGGCAUCAGGAUAGAGGAAAGUCCACCAGAGACGAGAACUGACCCUUUUCAAACAGAACUGGAUGUGUUUCCAUGUGAGACUGUGUUGAUAGCACUAUCAGCUUUGUGCGUUGGGCUCUUUACUUUGGUUUUUGCUUUGGUGUGCCACAUUUCGUUUAGAAAAAGGAAGCACAGAAGAAAAGAAUACAGUGUUGCAGAGGUUGAGAUCCCAUUAAAGACAACAAUAGCUUCAUAUACAUUAGAAAAGAAAUCAGUGAAUGAUUUGGAUCUAUAAGUUAUACAGUAUAACUGAUCAAUUAUAUGAUCAACCCAUUGUUUACAAGUAACAUCUGGACAGUACUUUGAAGUUACCAACAUUUGGGUUUCAAAUGUGUUUGGUAUGAAGAAAUUAUAAGUUACAGAGUUCCAAUCUGAUUAACAAUCAACUAAUCCAUUGUUUACAGGUCAAAACUACAGCAUAUUGAAUAAGUCUAGUGUUUUCUUUACAAAACUGAACAUUUUGUUUAAAAAGCAUAAACUUGCACAGCUGGAUCUGUGAUUGAUCUCAAUACUUCAUUUUCUUAAAAACAAAAUGGCUGGACCUUGAACUCCAACGAUCAAAAACAGGAGAUCCAAGACAAUUGUUGCUUCCUUCUUUGGCUGACCAAGGAACCAGAAAAAAAUAAGCAUAUGAUAGCACCUUGUAUCACCCUGCCAAAUGUUGAUGGGAGCUAAAAAGGACACUUCUUUCUCAAAAAGGACCUAUAAAUCCUCAAGAUUGUUGUCUUUUCAGUUUUUUUUAAACAAGUAUUAAUUCAGUGCUUUACUUUUGAAGAAUAUAUAAAACUGAUGUCUGUCAUUUCAGGCUGCCUUCAAUUCCGAAGUUGUUGAGUGAAGCUACAUAGAUGGGACAAAGCAGCAAUAGUGAACAUGUAACAGCAGAUGUUAUAUCAAGAGUCCUUUCUGACACCAAAUGAGCUUUACUGAACUGAGUCAGAUUCUUAUGGACAAACAAAGCUCGAGCAACCUGAAAUAAGUGAUUAAUUGAUCUUGUUUCACUUUCAUCCAGUUGGAAUAUGAAAAUACAAUUGAAACAGUAUGGAAUUAUUUGACAAGAUUAUGGAAAACAAUAUGUGUGCAAAUUAUUUAAUUUCUGAGCAUUGUUUGUAUAAAUUCUGCAGCUAAAGCAAAUUUCUUUGUAAAUGACUAUUUUUGAAAUGAUA